UACCAGCUCUCCGAGUGGUGUGGAUGUUUAUUGGGCCUAAAGCAUCCGUAGCUGGCUAAGUCAGUCCCUUGUUAAAUCCACCGAAUUAAUCGUUGGAUUGCGGGGGAUACUGCUUGGCUAGGGGACGAGAGAGGCAGACGGUAUUUCCGGGGUAGGGGUGAAAUCCUAUAAUCCCGGGAAGACCACCAGUGGCGAAGGCUGUCUGCUAGAACGCGCCCGACGGUGAGGGAUGAAAGCUGGGGGAGCGAACCGGAUUAGAUACCCGGGUAGUCCCAGCUGUAAACGAUGCAGGCUAGGUGUUUGGACGGCCACGUGCCGUUCUAGUGCCGCAGGGAAGCUGUUAAGCCUGCCGCCUGGGGAGUACGAUCGCAAGAUUGAAACUUAAAGGAAUUGGCGGGGGAGCACCACAAGGGGUGAAGCUUGCGGUUUAAUUGGAGUCAACGCCGGAAAUCUCACCGGGAGCGACAGCAGUGUGAAGGCCAGAUUAAAGGUCUUGCCAGACGAGCU
rnacentral:rRNA from 1 species